GACGAACGCUGGCGGCGUGCCUAAUACAUGCAAGUCGAACGAACCGCGACUAAGUGCUUGCACUAAGUCAAGGUGAGUGGCGAACGGGUGAGUAACACGUGGGUAACCUACCUCAUAGUGGGGGAUAACAGUCGGAAACGACUGCUAAUACCGCAUAGGACAUAGGAUCACAUGAUCCAGUGAGGAAAGGUGGCGCAAGCUAUCGCUAAGAGAUGGACCCGCGGUGCAUUAGCUAGUUGGUAGGGUAAAGGCCUACCAAGGCGAUGAUGCAUAGCCGACCUGAGAGGGUGAUCGGCCACAUUAGGACUGAGACACGGCCCAAACUCCUACGGGAGGCAGCAGUAGGGAAUCUUCCGCAAUGGACGCAAGUCUGACGGAGCAACGCCGCGUGAGUGAAGAAGGUCUUCGGAUCGUAAAGCUCUGUUGUUAGAGAAGAACAGCGCAUAGAGUAACUGCUAUGCGUGUGACGGUAUCUAACCAGAAAGCCACGGCUAACUACG
rnacentral:rRNA from 1 species